GGGACACGUGGUAUCCUGUCUGAAUAUGGGGGGACCAUCCUCCAAGGCUAAAUACUCCUGACUGACCGAUAGUGAACCAGUACCGUGAGGGAAAGGCGAAAAGAACCCCGGCGAGGGGAGUGAAAAAGAACCUGAAACCGUGUACGUACAAGCAGUGGGAGCACGCUUAGGCGUGUGACUGCGUACCUUUUGUAUAAUGGGUCAGCGACUUAUAUUCUGUAGCAAGGUUAACCGAAUAGGGGAGCCGAAGGGAAACCGAGUCUUAACUGGGCGUUAAGUUGCAGGGUAUAGACCCGAAACCCGGUGAUCUAGCCAUGGGCAGGUUGAAGGUUGGGUAACACUAACUGGAGGACCGAACCGACUAAUGUUGAAAAAUUAGCGGAUGACUUGUGGCUGGGGGUGAAAGGCCAAUCAAACCGGGAGAUAGCUGGUUCUCCCCGAAAGCUAUUUAGGUAGCGCCUCGUGAAUUCAUCUCCGGGGGUAGAGCACUGUUUCGGCAAGGGGGUCAUCCCGACUUACCAACCCGAUGCAAACUGCGAAUACCGGAGAAUGUUAUCACGGGAGACACACGGCGGGUGCUAACGUCCGUCGUGAAGAGGGAAACAACCCAGACCGCCAGCUAAGGUCCCAAAGUCAUGGUUAAGUGGGAAACGAUGUGGGAAGGCCCAGACAGCCAGGAUGUUGGCUUAGAAGCAGCCAUCAUUUAAAGAAAGCGUAAUAGCUCACUGGUCGAGUCGGCCUGCGCGGAAGAUGUAACGGGGCUAAACCAUGCACCGAAGCUGCGGCAGCGACGCUGAUGCGUUGUUGGGUAGGGGAGCGUUCUGUAAGCCUGUGAAGGUGUGCUGUGAGGCAUGCUGGAGGUAUCAGAAGUGCGAAUGCUGACAUAAGUAACGAUAAAGCGGGUGAAAAGCCCGCUCGCCGGAAGACCAAGGGUUCCUGUCCAACGUUAAUCGGGGCAGGGUGAGUCGACCCCUAAGGCGAGGCCGAAAGGCGUAGUCGAUGGGAAACAGGUUAAUAUUCCUGUACUUGGUGUUACUGCGAAGGGGGGACGGAGAAGGCUAUGUUGGCCGGGCGACGGUUGUCCCGGUUUAAGCGUGUAGGCUGGUUUUCCAGGCAAAUCCGGAAAAUCAAGGCUGAGGCGUGAUGACGAGGCACUACGGUGCUGAAGCAACAAAUGCCCUGCUUCCAGGAAAAGCCUCUAAGCAUCAGGUAACAUCAAAUCGUACCCCAAAC
rnacentral:rRNA from 1 species